rnacentral:rRNA from 1 species
UACGUAGGGUGCAAGCGUUAAUCGGAAUUAUUGGGCGUAAAGCGCGCGCAGGCGGUUUUGUAAGUCUGACGUGAAAGCCCCGGGCUUAACCUGGGAAUUGCGUUGGAGACUGCAAGGCUUGAAUCUGGCAGAGGGGGGUAGAAUUCCACGUGUAGCAGUGAAAUGCGUAGAGAUGUGGAGGAACACCGAUGGCGAAGGCAGCCCCCUGGGUCAAGAUUGACGCUCAUGCACGAAAGCGUGGGGAGCAAACAGG